UAAAUCUUGAGGACUUUAUGGUAAGUUAAAUAUCUGUCAAACAAAGACAAAUAUUUCUUAUUUCCACUUACAGGGGUCAUGUGAAAUAGUCAAAUGCGUAGAACAAAAGAGUGUAAUGGUGGUUGCCAGGGCUGUGGGGAGGAGAAAAUGAGGAGCUACUCAUCAAUGGGCGUGAAGUUUCCGUCAGGCAAGAUGAAUGCGUUCUAGAGCUCUGCUGCACAUUAUGUACCUAGAGUCAACAAGGGGCUGAAAGUAAAAAUGGCCUGAUCCUGGGUAGGUCUCAUUCACCUGCUGUCAUUGGAAAAGGCAUUGGAGUUGUGGGGACCGUGUAGGAAACCCAAACAGGCUGACAAAUACCAGCGCUUUUCCCUAAUUGGGAGUACAAGUUGUGAGGACUCCUAAUUAUACAAGAACCCUGGAACUGGAGCAGAAAGUCUCAAUAAGUGUUUCAACAGACAAAGUACUUGAGUGUCCUGCCUCCGUUUCCCCAUCUGUAAGCUGAGGUGAGCAAGAAUACUUCACAGAGUUGUUAUGAGAGGUGAGGAUACUGAGCUCAGAGAUGUGAAGCAACCUGCCCAAGGUCAUGCAGCCAGGAGUGGCAGGGUCAAGAUGCAAACCCAGGCAGAAAUUACUCGAAAUUCCGUGUUCUCUUCCCAACACAAUCUCUGUCUUAUUUCUGUCUUUCCAAUGACACCAGUAUUUCCAAGCUUUCACCUUACCACAUUCUUUAAGCAACACAUUAUGCAGAUUUUUUUUUAACUGGCAACCUGAGGCAUGUCUCUCUUAACCGCUGUCAGCCUAAGCUCACUGCUAAAGCACCAUCUCUAUGUGCCCCCAGACCUUUGAGCACUAUCAAAAUCAGAAAUGCAUUCACUCUGUAACUCAGCAAUUCUACUUUUGGAAAUUUAUCCUAGAAUAUACGUACACCUGUACACAAUGACAUACAUGCAAUGUUAUUCAUCGCAUUGUGGUUUGUAAUAGCAAAAGAUGAGAACUUUCCCAACUGUUCAUCAAGAGAGAAAUAAUUAAAUAAGACAUAAUAUAGCCAUUAUAAUAGAAAAACAUAUAAUUAUAAGUAAGAAUGAAAGAACUCACUAUACCCUGAUACAGAAAGAUAAGCAGGAUAUAAGUUUUAAAAGGCAGGAUACAGAACUGUCUGUGUAAUAAAAAAAAAAGAAGUGCAUAUACAUUUGUAUUUGCUUGUACGUACCUGAAAUUCUGCAAAGAUAAAGAAGAAACACGUAACAAUGGCUGUCUGUGAAAAGGAAAUGUUCCAGGCAGAAGGGACAAUUUUCACUGACUAUUCUAGCAUACUCUUGUUUUUAAAUUUUUCAAUCAUAUGAAUUACUGGCCUGUUCAAGAAAUGAAACAAUUUUAAAAAUACGGGUCUUAAGAGUAUAGGAUUAAGAGUAUAGGAUUUUUUUUAAGAGUAUAGGAUUAAGAAUCAGAAAUUUGAGUCCAAGUUCGGGGCAAACUUGGAUACCUUACUUUAUUUCUGUCAGCCUUCAUUUCUUCAUUAGCAAAAUCUCCAAGUCCCUAAAUACUGGGGACUUUGGCCAACGUUAUCAUCAUCAUAGCUACCAUUUAUUAAGUGGUUACUUUUGCCAAGCCCUAUACUAGAGCCUCCUAAGAAUUUGCCUCAUUGAGUCAUUGCAAGCAACCCUACGAGAUAGGAACUAUGAUUACUCCCAUCUCACAGAUGAGCAAACUGAAGCUCAGUGCGGGGGUGUAACUUGCCCAAGGUCACACAGCCAGUAUGUGGCAGAACCAGAAUUCAAACCCAGGUCUCUCAAGCCUGUAUUUGGACUCAAUGGUUUGCUGCCUCCAUCCACAUUGACAAUUUUCCUAGUUGUGUUCCCUGCCUCUUGCAUAAAUCCCACCCACCAGUUCCCUUCUGAAAUUGCCAGCCUCCACCAGGCCUGGCCCUCGCUCAUUUCCAAUCACCCUUUAUCCACCAUAGCUUUGGAAAUGGACUGUUACUAAUGGCUAGUCAUAUGUCAGCCUAAUGAAUGGGAGGCAGACUUCCAUUAAAAUAAUGAAAUUAGCGAGUUUCAAAUUUGGUUACAUCGCAUGGCACACAGCCUCAAGUAAUGACCACCCCAUGCUCCUUCCUACAAAUUAAAGUCAGUUUAUUUAUUUAAGGUCUUUGGCUUGGCCAUCUCUAUUAAGCUCACAUCAUCUGUUUAGGGAUGGAUUUUUUUUUUUUUUUGGCCUUGUUUGUUUAAAUGAUGUUCGGGCUGUUCCCCUGAUUAAUAAAGUCGUAAACACAGUCAGGAGCAGCUUCUGAACCAUGUGCAAAAGCAAAGAAUGUAAGUCAAAGAACAAUUCUUUGGGGGUUUGGGUUUUGUUUGUUUGGGGUGUUUUUUUUUCCUCCAAAGGAUGGAAACAAUAAGAAAGAAGCUCUUUGAGCUCCAGAAACUCCAAUUAUGCUGACAUUUCUGCUGCAGAAACACACCAAGCUCCAUUUUGCAGGAACCCAGUGAACUAGCUAAUCAGAUUUCCUUGGAUAAUUUGCUCCAAAGGUCAGCUGCCUUAAAAAGCACCCAGUGCCUCAUUAUUUGGUAAAGCAGGCUGCACGCGGGCUGCGAUUUGGAACUCAGCCUCCCAUGGCAAGGUAGUUUUUCUGGAAUUUUUUAGCCCAGACCCUGCAGCCUUAGCUUUGGCCAAAGUCUCAUCCACCUUUGUGAUCAGCCCGCAGACAAAAUCAUUACCAGAAAAAGCACCUGAAUCUCUGAGUCUGUGAGGUCUCUGUCUCCAAGACAGGUCUCUCUCGUGUCCCAGGAGCACCAAAGAUGGCAGACUCAUCUGAAAUGUUCAUGCCAUUGGUCAAUUUCAAGGGAGGCUUUUACUGAUACUGUGAUGGGUAGGCGGCCAGACCUAGGUUCUAAUCACCAAGUCCAAUUCUACAAAAUCCCUAACCCAGUACCCCUCAAAACUAUCAAGAUCAUGAAAAAUAAGGAAAGAUGGAGAAAUUGUUCCAUACCAGAAGAGACUACAGAGACGUGAGAAUAAAUGCAACAUGAAACUCUGGAUUGAAUCCUGGACAGGAAAAAGACAUUAGUAGAAAAACUGGUGAAAUUCAAAUAAAAUUUGGAAUGCAAUUAAUAGUUUCCAAAGUUGUGACAAAG
rnacentral:lncRNA from 10 species